GGAAACACACAUCAACCUCAGUAGCAGUUUCACCUGUGUAAAGAGUAUGGGACUGGACCUAUAGAGGCUACCCUGAGUGUAUGCAUUCUGUUCUUGCGGGGAAGACAGCCUGAACAUGCCCUGUUGACAGAUCCUUUAUUGUGCUAGUCACAUAUGCCAGAGGAUGAUUCAGUGGGAUAUCUGCUUGAGUAAUGAAUCCAAGAUUGGACCAUUCUAAAGGAAUCUAUCAUAGAAGAAAUAAUAAACGCAAAUCAAGUCUCAAAUCUGUCCUGGAUGUCCCCUCUUUUGAUGUUUUUAAGGAGUAUCAUGAGUUGUUUUAUGCUUUCCUAAAAAUGUAUGAUAUAAAAAAUGUUUGUCUCUUUCCUUCAUGUAAGGGAAAUCCUGAUUGACAUGUAGAUUGUGGGUUACCUGGGGAAGGGACUGUCAUCUUUUUACAUGUCUGUAGAUUAUCCAGCACAAUUCUACCAGUGGUACCAUACAACUGCUAGUUAAUCAAAAGUGGAUUGUUCCAAUAUCACAAAUCAUUUAAUUCAGCCCUUACACUCCUGCUUUAACAUGGUGUUAUCACCCUUACUGAAACGUACAGCACUUGAAGAUUAGGUAGCUGAUCACAAGCUACUUUGG